rnacentral:rRNA from 1 species
CUACGGGAGGCAGCAGUGAGGAAUAUUGGGCAAUGCCCGCAAGGGUGACCCAGCAACGCCGCGUGGAGGAUGAAGGCCGUAAGGUUGUAAACUCCUGUUAGAGGGGAAGAAUAGUACCGGUUGGACCGGUAUAUGACUGUACCCUCAGAGAAAGCCCCGGCUAACUACGUGCCAGCAGCCGCGGUAAUACGUAGGGGGCAAGCGUUGUCCGGAUUUACUGGGUGUAAAGGGCGCGCAGGCGGGAUAAAAAGUCAGUGGUGAAAUCCUACAGCUUAACUGUAGAACUGCCUUUGAUACUUUUAUUCUUGAGUUCGGGAGAGAGAGACGGAAUUCCAGGUGUAGUGGUGAAAUACGUAGAUAUCUGGAAGAACACCAGUUGCGAAGGCGGUCUCUUGGUCCGAUACUGACGCUGAGGCGCGAAAGCGUGGGGAGCAAACAGGAUUAGAUACCCCUGUAGUCC